UACGUAGGGCGCAAGCGUUGUCCGGAAUUAUUGGGCGUAAAGAGCUCGUAGGCGGUCUGUUGCGUCUGCCGUGAAAACCCGAGGCUUAACCUUGGGCUUGCGGUGGAUACGGGCAGGCUAGAGGCUGGUAGGGGCAAGCGGAAUUCCUGGUGUAGCGGUGAAAUGCGCAGAUAUCAGGAGGAACACCGGUGGCGAAGGCGGCUUGCUGGGCCAGUUCUGACGCUGAGGAGCGAAAGCGUGGGGAGCGAACAGG
rnacentral:rRNA from 1 species